AAGAAAGAAAGAAAGAAAGAAAGAAAGAAAGAAAGAAAGAAAGAAAGAAAGGCUCUUAAGCUCUCCUAAGCACAUAAUCAGAUCUUUCCAUCUCUUAUGGGGACUAUUGUUUGGGUAAAAGAAUAAUGGUAGGAGGAAACAUAAAUUCAAGGAAGGUUGAAUUCCCACAAGGAGAAUAAAUGAAUCAAUGGCAUCACAUUUCAAAGAAAUUUUAAUAAGUAUCACCAAAACUGCCUCCAGAAGGAAAUACCUGUUUAUAUUCUCAACAACAAUAUAUGAAUGACUGGUUUUCUAACCCUUAUAAUUACUGGAAGAUUUUGGUAGAAAAACUUUAUACUUGUGUUUUUUUAUUGUGGUAAAAUGUAUACAACAUACAAUUCACCAUUUUAACCACUUUUUAAAAAGAUUUUUUAAUGUUUUUACCUUACUUUAGGGGGGGUGGGAAGGGGCAGAAAGAGACGGAGAGACGGAUAUCCCAAGCAGGCUCUGUGCUGUCAGUGCAGACCCCAACAUGGGGCUUGAAUCCACAAACCGUGAGAUCAUGGACCUGAGCUGAAUCAAGAGUUGGAGGUUUAACUGACUGAACCCCCGAACACCCCUACCAUUUUAACC